CCUCCGCCCUGAACAGUAAGAGUUUAUGUGCUGUUGUUCAUCUGUCAGCACAUGAGCUUUUACGGUUAAGGGAGGAAGAG
rnacentral:miRNA from 1 species